GACAACAAUGAAAUUUAUAGUAAGAGGAAAAUCCGUCGACUUUAGAAAUC
rnacentral:tRNA from 1 species